rnacentral:rRNA from 1 species
UACGAAGGGGGCUAGCGUUGCUCGGAAUCACUGGGCGUAAAGCGCACGUAGGCGGAUUGCUAAGUCAGGGGUGAAAUCCUGGAGCUCAACUCCAGAACUGCCUUUGAUACUGAGUAGCUUGAGUCCGGGAGAGGUGAGUGGAACUGCGAGUGUAGAGGUGAAAUUCGUAGAUAUUCGCAAGAACACCAGUGGCGAAGGCGGCUCACUGGCCCGGUACUGACGCUGAGGUGCGAAAGCGUGGGGAGCAAACAGG